UGUGUGUGUGUGUGUCACUCACAUCCAGAACUCCACUUCCGGCACAGCCAUUUGGUCUUGGUCUGUUUCAUUGCUGGAACUGGGACAGGUGAGUCAGCAACUUGGCCUGUUUGACAUUUACACCAGAUAAUGGAGAAACACGCCCGACUGCAGAUGUACAAGGCCGCUUUUGUCGAGGGUCAACCGCUGCUGGACUCCUGCAGAGAUCUUUCUCCAGGCCGUGACGCCGCCCUCACUGGUGUACUGGCCCAAUGCCGUCUCCAGGAAGAAGAGAGGGAGGCCAAAGAACAUGAGGAUCACAAAGUAAGGGAUGAGGAAGACCGCUGCAAAGAGACAAGGGAUGAAAGACGGCGCACGAUGAAGGCGACGUGAGGCGGGGAUUCACAGAAACACUGGCACGCAGUGCACUGACAGAAAAUCACACAUCCGGCCUAAUGUUAGA